rnacentral:lncRNA from 1 species
CUGUAACCAAAAAAUAUUGAGAAAGAUAUUUUAAAGAACUUAGAGCAUAUUCCUACUAAGACUCUUUUUUGUGUUUUCUCCCAGUGUAGGAGUAAAAAAUUUUUGGUGGAUGGAAAGGCAUGUUUGUGCACAUUCCCAGUGUUGGAAUGUCAGAUAUAUGUGGGUGUAUGUGAUCUUGAUCUUAGGAGCAUGAUUUCUCUUGACAUAGGUCAAUAAGGUUUGACAAAACUCAAUAUAAAGCAAGUAGCCUAUGAGCUAGUUUAUAUCUAUCAUGCAUGGCUCUAGUAGGA